rnacentral:rRNA from 1 species
GACGGAGGAUGCAAGUGUUAUCCGGAAUCACUGGGCGUAAAGCGUCUGUAGGUGGUUUAAAAAGUCUACUGUUAAAGCUUGAAGCUUAACUUCAAAAAUGCCGUAGAAACUUUUAAACUUGAGUAUGGUAGGGGUAGAGGGAAUUUCCAGUGGAGCGGUGAAAUGCGUAGAUCUUGGAAAGACCACCAAUGGCGAAGGCACUCUACUGGGCCAUUACUGACACUAGAGAGAGAAAGCUAGGGGAGCAAAUGGG